UGGACAGGCCGCUGUGGAGGAAGGUAUUGUUGUCGGUGGUGGUUGUACCCUUCUAAGGCUUGCAUCAAAAGUUGAUGCCAUUAAAGAAACCCUUGAGAAUGAUGAACAGAAGGUCGGUGCUGAAAUUGUGAGGAAAUCCUUGAGCUAUCCUCUUAAACUGAUUGC